rnacentral:rRNA from 1 species
AACGAACGCUGGCGGCAUGCCUAACACAUGCAAGUCGAACGAGACCUUCGGGUCUUGUGGCGCAUGGGUGCGUAACGCGUGGGAACCUGCCCUUAGGUUCGGAAUAACUACCCGAAAGGGGUGCUAAUACCGGACAAUGUCUUCGGCCCAAAGAUUUAUCGCAUUUGGAUGGGCCCGCGUUGGAUUAGCUAGUUGGUAGGGUAAAAGCCUACCAAGGCGACGAUCCAUAGCUGGUCUGAGAGGAUGGUCAGCCACACUGGGACUGAGACACGGCCCAGACUCCUACGGGAAGCAGCAGUGGGGAAUAUUGGACAAUGGGCGAAAGCCUGAUCCAGCAAUGCCGCGUGAGUGAUGAAGGCCGUAGGGUUGUAAAGCUCUUUUAACCGGGAUGAUAAUGACAGUACCGGGAGAAUAAGCUCCGGCUAACUCCGUG